UUAACACCAGAGGAGAUCCAGAAGAAUUAUGAACAUUUGUUUAAAGUCAAUGACAAAGCGGUCGGCGUUCAUUCUAUCUUCAAUCAAAGGUGGUUCGGGC